UACGUAGGGUGCGAGCGUUGUCCGGAAUUAUUGGGCGUAAAGGGCUCGUAGGCGGUCUGUCGCGUCGGGAGUGAAAACUCAGGGCUUAACCCUGAGCCUGCUUCCGAUACGGGCAGACUAGAGGUAUGCAGGGGAGAACGGAAUUCCUGGUGUAGCGGUGGAAUGCGCAGAUAUCAGGAGAAACACCGGUGGCGAAGGCGGUUCUCUGGGCAUUACCUGACGCUGAGGAGCGAAAGUGUGGGGAGCGAACAGG
rnacentral:rRNA from 1 species